GCCUGCUUUAAGUCUGUCCUAUCGGGAGCGCCAGGGUGCUCUGCGCCGGGCCGAGGGUGGGGCCAGCACUAGUGGUUCCGGCUCGGCUCCUCCAGCCCCUUGGCUCCUCGCUCCCCCCCUCCCCUCCCGCACCUCUCUCCUCCCUCCCGCUCCUGGGAAAGAGAGAAGCCGCCGCUGCGGGUGGGUAGAGAAGCGCUCGGCGCCUCGGGGAGGGGACCGCGCCCGCCCCGUCUGAGCCUCGGAGCCCUGCCGGACCAGGAGGACAGUUGUGAAGCCAGUGCACUUUUGAUUCAAUGGGGCUGAAUGGGUUACAAAAUAUCCUCCUGUGCUUGAGAUCCACAGACUACAUGUCCUACAAGAACAAAUCAAUGAUUUUUCAUCUCGUGGAGAUACAUUAGAAACAUAAAUAUGGUGCCAAAAGAUCUCCUUACUUUUCUCUGACUACGGUUUAUUUGGACAUACUUUUGUAUUGAAGAGAGGUAUACAGACUGAGGCUACUCGUGCAGAGACGCUGUCGUGUAGGAUCAUGGACCAUCCUAGUAGGGAGAAGGAUGAAAGACAACGGACAACUAAACCUAUGGCACAAAGGAGUACACACUGUUCCCGACCAUCUGGCUCCUCAACAUCCUCUGGGGUUCUUAUGGUGGGACCCAACUUCAGGGUUGGCAAGAAGAUAGGGUGUGGGAACUUCGGAGAGCUCAGAUUAGGUAAAAAUCUCUACACCAAUGAAUAUGUAGCUAUCAAACUGGAACCAAUAAAAUCACGUGCUCCACAGCUUCAUUUAGAGUACAGGUUUUAUAAACAGCUCGGCAGUGCAGAGAUAGGGAGAAUCGAAACAACCACAAGGACAAUUCAGUGGAUAUUUAUGGAGCUGGCAGGAGCAGAGUACACUACAUUCGAUGGUGAAGGUCUGCCACAGGUGUAUUACUUUGGACCAUGUGGGAAAUACAAUGCCAUGGUGCUGGAGCUCCUCGGCCCGAGCCUGGAGGAUUUGUUUGACCUCUGUGACCGAACUUUUACUUUGAAGACGGUGUUGAUGAUAGCCAUCCAAUUGCUUUCUCGAAUGGAAUAUGUGCAUUCAAAGAAUCUCAUUUACCGAGAUGUGAAGCCAGAGAACUUCCUGAUUGGCCGACAAGGCAAUAAGAAAGAGCAUGUUAUACACAUCAUAGAUUUUGGACUGGCCAAGGAAUACAUUGACCCUGAAACCAAAAAACACAUACCUUAUAGGGAGCACAAAAGUUUAACUGGAACUGCAAGAUAUAUGUCUAUCAACACACAUCUUGGCAAAGAGCAAAGCCGGCGGGAUGAUUUGGAAGCCCUAGGCCAUAUGUUCAUGUAUUUCCUUCGAGGCAGCCUACCCUGGCAAGGACUCAAGGCUGAUACAUUAAAAGAGAGAUAUCAAAAAAUUGGUGACACCAAAAGGAACACUCCCAUUGAAGCUCUCUGUGAAAACUUUCCAGACCAAGACAGGUUUUAUCACUUUCACUUGGGCCAUAAAGAAAACACCAGAUAUUCCUGGGUUGGCCCAGAGCUUCUCGCCAUGGGAAGCAUUCAACUCAUGAGCAUGGCCUUUCACCUCUUUUCUACAGAAGAAAUGGCAACCUACCUGCGAUAUGUCAGGCGAUUAGACUUCUUUGAAAAGCCUGACUAUGAGUAUUUACGGACCCUCUUCACAGACCUCUUUGAAAGGAAAGGCUACACGUUUGACUAUGCCUACGAUUGGGUUGGAAGGCCCAUUCCUACGCCAGUAGGGUCAGUUCAUGUAGAUUCUGGUGCGUCUGCAAUAACACGAGAAAGCCACACCCACAGGGACCGGCCAUCACAACAACAGCCUCUCCGAAAUCAGACUGCAUCGUCAGAGCGCCGAGGAGAGUGGGAAAUCCAGCCCAGCCGGCAGACCAAUACCUCGUACCUGACGUCUCACUUGGCUGCAGACCGCCAUGGGGGAUCAGUGCAGGUGGUUAGCUCAACCAAUGGUGAGCUGAAUGUCGAUGACCCCACGGGAGCCCACUCCAAUGCACCAAUCACAGCUCACGCCGAGGUGGAGGUAGUCGAGGAAGCUAAAGAUGCCUGUUUUGGCCCUGCCUCGUCUACAGCCUUUUGAUGAUGAGGCUUGGUAGCUGUAGAUUGAAAUGAGGCAGCUACUUCCUUUGGCUAUCCUGGCAGACACUGCCUACUACUUCCAGUGUGUGCACUGUAGAAGGUGCUGCUGUUUUUUUAAGAGGAAAAGGAAGAAGACUGCCCAGCGCCACAAGUGACCAGUGCCUCCCAGGAGUCCUCAGGCCCUGGGGACUCUAACUCGAUUGCACCUGCAGCUCCUGCCAUUUUUCAUUGGAAGGGACUCCUCUGUGGGGGAGGGUAGAGAUCCAAACCAAAAAGAAGAAAACAGAUGCCCCCAGAAGGAGCCAGUGUGGGCAGCCAGGGCCCAAUGGGUCAGUGGCCAUCCCCGCCUGCCUAAAGCUCUGAGCAGGUCCCAGAGCUGCUGCUCCUCCUCUGCUUGCCCUUGGGGCUGCCUGGUUGACUCUCCUUCCUAUUGUUUACAGUGAAGGUGUCAUUCACAAAAACUCAAGGACUACUAUUCUCUUCCCUCCCCUAGUUUACUCCUGAUUCUUGCCCACCCUCAACCCUCUCCAGCAUAAAAGCUAGUGAGUUAAAGGCUUUGUCUGCUGAAGGAGCUUAAGAGGCUGGGGGUGCGGCCAAGAAGGCAGGGGGAAGAUGGCAGGCCUGGGCUGGAGAAGAACCUUCUCCAACUACCAGCUGUGCCUGGCAGUAUGGCUUCCCCCUCCUCUGUGCCUGUGCGGCCUCCAUCCCCAGCUGGCCACGGGGUGCAGGUCCCUCCCUCCCUUCCUCCUGUGAAGUUACACUGUCGGACACAAGCUGUGAGAAAUUUGCAGUCUACUGUCCCUGCGUGUUGGCAUUCUUCGCUCUCUCAACAAGCGAACUCUGUUCUCCAGACGGUAGUAGGACAAUGCAAAUUGUUCUGCGCAAAGGAAACAAAAACUGACUUUAUUGCACUUUUAGUUGUUUUUUUUUUUUAAACAAAAAACAUGGCAGAUGCAUAUUGUGUCUGGUUAUAUCGAGAGUUUUACUUUUUUUCUGUUUUGAGGGGGAUGGGGCCAGCCAAGCCAUUCAGAGAGAACAUGGGUCCAGAGGACAUUCUCAGUGGAAAAAAGUUGGGUCUGCAGCACCCAGAAGAGAAGAAGCCAAACUCUGUCAUUCUGAGUAAGCGCUCAGGUUGGCAAGGAAACAUACUUGAAUUUUCAUUCAUCUUCUCAGCUGCUGAAGAAUGUCCCUACCAGAGCCUCUUGACCUCAUCAGCCUACAGUUUGGACAGCCUAGCUCUCCAGCACUUGGAUGAGCCAGCCAAGCCAGACUGUGACCAGGAGAAAGAGAUGCUUGACAAAAAAAUUGGAAAUACCGGUUUCCUCCACUGCCAGGGACUUCCAACUAGAUAGCCAUGUGACUUCCUUAGUGAUUUGGGGGACAAAAUUAAUGAUAAAAGAGCCACCACCAUCUUGCCACUAGUGGACAAGAAGAGGAGGAAAGUGAGCCUUUCUUCCGGCUGCCAGAAGAACCUCAGGAUUUGGCAUCAUAGGGCCAUGAAAUAAAAUCAGUAUGUACUGUCUGCCCCAGUAGCUGAGGGGUAGCGUUUGGGCUGGCCUGCCUUAUCAGAAACCAGGCACCUGCAGCAGGUUCAGGACUGAGCACAUGGGGCUGUAGUGAACAGGAGGGUAAGAUUGGUUGGUGCCAGAAAAUUCCAGGGGAAAGGAUACUGAAAUGAAAGGUCUGAAAUUAUCUUCUUAAUUGGAUAUAGACUCCUUCCAAGUAAGAUGGCCAUGGAUCUAGAGCACGUUUUACCCAGUCCACUGUCUGGUUUUACCCAGUCCACCUAAUCUACUACGAUGAAGGGUCUUGGUUCUUCAUGUACUGCUUGGAAAGUCAUUAAUGUAUGGAGUUCAUCUUAUUGUGCUCAAUUUUCAUUUGAGUUCAGUGGCUUAUGCCAACAGUGACCUCAUUCCAGAUGUGAUAGAGAAGAAUCACAUCAGGGAACAAGGCCUUGUAUCUGGGAGUAGAGAGAGCUGACCAUGGAGGACAGUGGCUGGUGACUGAGUCUGGUGGUUUUGGGAACACAGAAAUCAUUGCCUCUGACUUGAGGUGGAGGGCCAUCUUUUGGACUGGAGGAUCUGAGGCUACUUUCUGGUAAUUGGCAUUUCCUGACAAGUCCCUUGAUGUAUUUCACAUGGAGCAGAAAUAGCAGCAGUCACAUCGAUGAGAGUUACUGGGCUUUCCCUGUCCUACUGGGCCUUGGCUAGGAAGUAUCACUUUACUGGCUUCAGACCUGCUUAGCUCAUGUAAAGAUUGUAGUCUUUCCUUUCUUUAAAAGAAAUUUUCCUAUAUACAAAACAGUGGCUGGGAGACACAGCGUCACAGCCCUUUUCCACAAGGAUUUUUGAAUAUUGCUUCUUUGAUAUUACAUAGUGGUUAAGGCACCAUCUCAGAAACUUAGAGUUUCACAACUGGCAUUUGGACAACUCAAACUUCCCAUAUAGAAACUUUAAUUCCUUAUCCCUUGUAUAGAAAAAGCCUUGCCUCUCAAAGGAGGGCAAGGGGAAAUGGUGACAAAGCCUCUAGCAUCCUGGCACUCCAUACCCACUAAGUGCCUCCCCACCUCUGCUUCCACAAAAAAGCAAAGGCAGUGACCAGCUUGGCUCAGGGCAAGCCCCCUGCAGCUGGGUUUGUGACUUUUUUUUUUUUUUUUUUUUGGUCUUAAAAUGUUUUUAACAGCUAGCUCUUGAGGGGUUUAAACCUAAGCAGUUAUGGGGGGGGGGGGUCCUUCCUAAUGCACUGUUCUUUCUCUGCUCCCCACAAAUCUCUUACUAGGUAUUUGAUUUUCAUAACAAAGGGUAAUGGUGAUUCUUCUAAGGCCAUUAGCACUCCAAGGUGGUCCCAGACCCCUUGGAUUCUAUUGUGAUCUUCCUGAAAAUUAAGAAGUAAAUAAAAAGACUACCUAAGGAAUAAUUGGGCCAUCAGUCCCAUCCCCAGCAGCGCAUCAGGGCUCCCUUCCUCAGCCCUCUUGCUCUAGUUGCUUAGCACUGUACCUCAGCCAGUCGCCUGAGGCUGGGCACUCCCUCCACCCACCAACACCCCAAUCCACUCACUGCAGUUUUUCCAGCUUUCUCCAUUUCACAACAUGGUGCCUAGGGAUCUUUUUCUUUGGGACUGAUGCAGUUGCUACUGACCUAGCAGUAAGUACUAACAGCAUUUGUUCAUUAAAAAAACCCUUACUAUAUGCUAUUAGGAGUUCUCCCGAGCCCUGUGGUCCUUCUGGCAUCGCAUCUUGAGCAGAUUGAAGCAAGCAGGCCAGGCAUCCACCCAGGCAUAAAUGGUCCUUCUUGUAUGACCAGAGAAUGACCUGUGUCUGUACAGUCAGGCAUUGUAAGGGUUGAUCACUUGCUGCACACACCCUGGCAUUUCCCAGUGAUCUCACUCUAGAUUACUCUGCAAGAGUGGGGGUGGUGUGCCAGUAGCCAGUGUGCUUUCACGACGGCCUUGAUGAACAUUCUGGUAUAUUGAGUCUGUCUAGGAGUAAACAGGGUCUAAGAAGAGUACACUGGUUGACCUCCAGUUAAAGCUCCACUUAACUCUGGAACGCAGGGGCAACAGGAGGCAGCAGAAUCCUGGGGUUUUCAGUAGAAGUGCUGAUUUGCCUGUUUAUCUCUGUGAACUCCAGGUACAAAGAAGCAGCCCCUGCCAUUAGCCAGAAGAGGGUCCGUCACCUGUAUCUCCCAACUUAGUUCACUGGAAGUCUCCCCUGAUGGUGCAUAUUCACUGUUAGUAACCAUCUUUAAUGUCAGGAAUAUGCAGUGAUGGUAAUAAUGUAUGUCAGAGUGGUUACUAAAGAUCAUAGCCUUAACUUUUUUGUAUGCAAAAGAUACAGUUUAUUCCCCAUCUAAGUGAGCAAGCACGGCCUGCAUUUAUAAAAAAUAAGUACUUUCAUGGCGGCCUAGAAAGCAUCUCAAAGGAACUUGAUCUUCUGAUGCAUCUCUCCCAAUUCCAUAUGCCUCCUGUGUGUCCCAGUCACCUCUUCCAUUUUCAUAUUUAAACCAAGUCUCCAUCCCCAGUGAAUUGCCCUGAUACUGUCGUCUCCAGGGUCGGCCACAUUAAAGCUAGAGUCACUCAGACUGGGAACUUGCAGCGCUGUCUGGGCAAUGUUGCCUUUGCCAGUCCACUGCCACCGUCCCUGCCAUUGCCCCCAAGGUGUGCAGAUGAAGGAGCCGGGGUAACGAGGCUCUGGAUUGGCUGGAACAAUCCACAUCUGGAUUGGCUGUAUGAGCAACAGGCACUUGUUUCUGGGGUUCUUGCUUUUGCCAACUCCAGGCCUCCAGGAAAGCCCUGUCUAGAGACUGAUGGCCAGUGACUCCCAGUCUUCCCUCUGAUGGGUCAGCAGGAAUCGAAAUAAGAUUCUUACAGUUUUGUUAUCUUGUUGGGUGGGGGGAGGGGGGAGGGAGAGGGGUGGCUUUGUUUCUGAAUACAAAGAAAAGGAAACCAUGGCCCUUUUGAGGGUUUGCAGAGUUUAGCCACAACUAAGGAAUCUUGGAAGUCUUCGAUCAAUUAAGCAGUCUUAAAAACAUGUUAUAACUCCUUUUGCAGGUGAGUAAAUGCAAAAGAAUAGAUUUCUCCAUUGUAUUCAAAAUAGUAAGUAGGUUCCCUGGAUAUAGACAAUAGUAGUUGACAGAGUUCCUCAAAAAGCAACCAGGAAGUCCACUCCAGUAUUUGUAGAUCAGCUUACAAAGGAAAAAGUGAAUGUGUACUCCAUAUAUUUCUAGUUUCAUUACCAAACUUGAUGUAAUCAAGAAACCUCAGUUCUGUGGACAGAAUUUUUGUUACUUUCCUCCUCUUUCUCCUCACAAUCAUUUCCAGUGCCAUCACCCUCAAAGUCUGACCAGAGGGUUAUCCAUGAUAAUAAGUGGGGGUGCAGUGCACCCAUCCCAGUAAUACACAGAGGACGGCUGUCCUGACUGCCUCUUCCCUGCAAACCCCUUCGGGCAGGCGAGACAUGGUCAGUUUCCUCUGCAUGAGCUCCAGACCAAAUCCCAGGCCAGCCCUUGCACCGAAAGCUUUUUUAAGAGGCUUGUCAAUCUGUUAGGAAUGUGUCAGGAGAGAUGAGCCAUUUCUUUGGGGGGAAAUAUAUUUACAGAUGGGUGUGUGUGGUUGCACUUGUAUGCCUGUGUGUGUGUGCACGCACGCGUGCAUUCUCAUCUGUGCGUUUCACUUCCAUAAAGACUCACAGCCCAGGCUGCUGGGACCAUGUGUUACUGAGUAUUCUCAGAAGUAAAGAAAUAACAAGUGAGCUUCUCAAAUUAGUGUCACAGCAAACUGGCUCUGGGAAUGAGCCCCAUUUAUUGAGCAGAAGAGUAAACAGCAGAAAAGAGAUGAAACCAAAAAUAUAACCCACCCCCCCAAUGGAAAGUAAUGUUGAUUCAUCAAUUCCCAUUGGAUAUAUUACAUCCUCUAAUUUAUUAUAUUAUUUUGUCUGUUUCUUUAAUCUUUGCCCAUUGUACUUUGAAAAAGAUGUUGGGAUGUUGAUUGCAAUUUUUUAAAGACUAGAUGAUGUAUAAAUCAGCUGUGGAAAUCAGUUUUAAUUGCUGUGUGAAUGUGUCUGAUUAUUGUUAAAUGCCUUUUUUUUUUAACUUUUUUAUUUUAGAUAUGUGAUGUUGUUUCAUAAACCCUGGCACUGGUCGCAAAGCUCAGCUGUGAAAAUGAAACUUGUAGUAUUUUUAAACAUGAAUGUCAAUUUCGAGUGUAUUUGAAACGGUUCCUCCAGGAGAGAGAUUUGUACACCAUUAGGAAACUCCUCUGCAGAGGAAGUAGCCUUCUUUGGAGAAAAUGGAAAAUGGGUCUUGAUAUGUUAUCUCAGAGUAGCCCAUUUCCUAGGGCACCAUGGAAAACACAAAUGUGAUCUUUAAGUAUACCUCUUCCCCAAUUUGGGGAAGAAAGAACUCAGUUUGCACCCUUUUUGUAUGUAAAAUAAAAUGUCUUACCUUUCUUGACUAA